AAUGAACGCUGGCGGCAGGCCUAACACAUGCAAGUCGAACGCACCUUUCGGGGUGAGUGGCGGACGGGUGAGUAACGCGUGGGAAUAUGCCCUUUGGUACGGAAUAGUCCUGGGAAACUGGGGGUAAUACCGUAUGUGCCCUUCGGGGAAAGAUUUAUCGCCAAAGGAUUAGCCCGCGUUGGAUUAGGUAGUUGGUGGGGUAAUGGCCUACCAAGCCGACGAUCCAUAGCUGGUUUGAGAGGAUGAUCAGCCACACUGGGACUGAGACACGGCCCAGACUCCUACGGGAGGCAGCAGUGGGGAAUCUUAGACAAUGGGGGAAACCCUGAUCUAGCCAUGCCGCGUGAUCGAUGAAGGCCUUAGGGUUGUAAAGAUCUUUCAGAUGGGAAGAUAAUGACGGUACCAUCAGAAGAAGCACCGGCU
rnacentral:rRNA from 1 species